rnacentral:rRNA from 1 species
AAAUUGAAGAGUUUGAUCAUGGCUCAGAUUGAACGCUGGCGGCAGGCCUAACACAUGCAAGUCGAGCGGUAGCACAGAGAGCUUGCUCUCGGGUGACGAGCGGCGGACGGGUGAGUAAUGUCUGGGAAACUGCCUGAUGGA